rnacentral:lncRNA from 1 species
GACAGAGUCCUCUGCAACCUUACUGCUGUGUUUGUGUCCCACCUGCAUGCGGACCACCACACGGUGAGCGUGAGACCCCAGAUGUCAGCAUGUGGAGGUGCUGUCCCCUUGGGCUUCUUUCCCCCUAGUGCCAAACUUUUGAGUUUCCUCAGUGUUUUUUGCUGAAUAAAACUUGUUUCACACACAGCCUGCCCAACAGGACUGUCCAGAUCUGGAUCCUUUAGGCUUCCUAGGUCUUACCCCAUUGCCCUGGUUCUAACACAGCUGUUUUUCUGCCCGUAACAUUUCAGUUACUAGUCAGCUUGUGCCACCCACCUGUGACAUGGGGUCAGUGAGAGAGGAAUCACUUGUAGGGAGGGGCUUGAGCCCUAAGCUGUGGGCAUGACAACUGGGCCUGGGCCUGGCUCAUCACCUGUGUCCCCCUCUGCAGGGCUUGUUGAAUAUCUUGCUGCAGAGGGAGCAUGCGCUGGCGUCUCUGGGGAAACCUUUUCAGCCCUUGCUAGUGGUGGCCCCUACCCAGCUCAGGGCCUGGCUGCAGCAGUAUCACAAUCAGUGCCAGGAGAUUCUGCAUCACAUCAGUAUGAUUCCUGCCAAAUGCCUUCAGAAAGGAGCAGAGGUCCCCAGUCCCCCAGUUGAAAGGCUGAUCAGCUUGCUGUUGGAAACAUGUGACUUACAAGAAUUUCAGACCUGCCUGGUACGUCACUGCAAGCAUGCUUUUGGCU